GAUCCCAUAGCUCAGUUGGUAGAGCGGCUGACUCUUAAUCAGUAGGUCGUGUGUUCAAAUCACACUGGGAUCACCA
rnacentral:tRNA from 2 species